CUGGGGACUGCUGUUUUUGCU
rnacentral:miRNA from 1 species